GAUGAACGCUGGCGGCGUGCCUAAUACAUGCAAGUCGAGCGAACGGACGAGAAGCUUGCUUCUCUGUUGUUAGCGGCGGACGGGUGAGAAACACGUGGAUAACCUACCUAUAAGACUGGGAUAAUUUCGGGAAACCGGAGCUAAUACCGGAUAAUAUUUUGAACCGUAUGGUUCAAAGGAGAAAGACGGUCUUGCUGUCACUUAUAGAUGGUUCCGCGCUGCAUUAGCUGGUUGGUAAGGUAACGGCUUACCAAGGCAACGAUGCAUAGCCGACCUGAGAGGGUGAUAGGCCACACGGGAGCGGGAACACGGUCCAGACUCCUACGGGAGGCAGCAGUAGGGAAUCUUCCGCAGUGGGCGAGAGCCUGACGGAGCAAGGCCGCGUGAGUGAUGAAGGUCUUCGGAUCGUAAAGCUCUGUUAUUAGGGAAGAACAUAUGUGUAAGUAACUGUGGACAGCGUGACGGUACCUAAUCAGAAAGCCACGGCUAACUACGUG
rnacentral:rRNA from 1 species